rnacentral:rRNA from 1 species
UACGUAGGGUGCAAGCGUUAAUCGGAAUUACUGGGCGUAAAGCGUGCGCAGGCGGUUUUGUAAGUCUGUCGUGAAAUCCCCGGGCUUAACCUGGGAAUGGCGAUGGAGACUGCAAGGCUUGAAUCUGGCAGAGGGGGGUAGAAUUCCACGUGUAGCAGUGAAAUGCGUAGAGAUGUGGAGGAACACCGAUGGCGAAGGCAGCCCCCUGGGUCAAGACUGACGCUCAUGCACGAAAGCGUGGGGAGCAAACAGG